rnacentral:lncRNA from 10 species
CAACUCCAGAGGGCACCAUUGGGGUUAUACCUUGUGUUUGCCUAACCUUCAUUGCAGUGGGCAGGUGCAUGCUUUCUACAAUGUCCUAAGGUCUAAAGGGGUAGAGUUCUGUGUGUGGCAUUUUAGGCCUGGAAAGGAUGAGAGUCUACAAAACCAGAGAAAUACUGCAGGGCUCCUAAAGUCCUUGGAAUGUCCUAAGUGGGAAGGGAAAGUGGCUGGAAGUUGACUUAAUUUGCAAUGGGCAAUGAUUUCAUCAAUCACGUCUAUGUAAUGAAGCCUCCACAAGAAAAAAAUCUUAACAGAAGACCUUCAGAGAGCUUCCAGGUUGCUGAAAUGGUCAAACCCAGGAGGGAAUGGUAUGAACCUCUGGUUUACAGCCAUUGGUAAGAAGCACACAUGACAACCUGGACUUUCCAUCAACAUUUGAAGCGGGAGCAGUCUUGUGGGAUCAAGCUCUUAACCUGUGGGGUCUGCUACUAACUCUGGAUCCAAUGAACACAUGGACCCAACACUCCUUUGGCCAAGUUGAUGAUUCUCCACCAUUUAUUUGCCUGCCUCACUAUACACUUCUAGCCCUUGUUCAUGUGCUACCUACAGAGAUCCCAGACCACCACCCAUGAUCCCAGGCUGGAGGAAGCAGCAGGCUAGCGGAAUUCAGGACCAAUGAGCCAGGAAAGAGGACCCAAUGCAGAGCUCACAUCCCACCCUCCUUCCCCCAUGACAAAGCACUGGCAAACCCUGCCAAAGAAGAAGCUUGGCUGCAAAGCAGUCUGGAACUGGACCCGGGAUAGAUUCACCAGGAGCUCACCACCACAGGGAAUGCUGCACUUUGACUGGACAGAAU